rnacentral:misc_RNA from 1 species
AGGGAUCAUUACAGAGUUCGUGCCCUCACGGGUAGAUCUCCCACCCUGUGUUAUUAUACCUUUGUUGCUUUGGCGGGCCGCCCUCGGCUACCGGCCCCGGCUGGUACGCGCCCGCCAGAGGACCCCAAACUCUGAAUGUUAGUGUCGUCUGAGUACUAUACAAUAGUUAAAACUUUCAACAACGGAUCUCUUGGUUCUGGCAUCGAUGAAGAACGCAGCGUAGCCACACCGAUGUGGAAGUAAAAGUCGUAACAAGGCAUCGAUGAAGAACGCAGCGUAGCCACAUCGAUGUGGAAGUAAAAGUCGUAACAAG